ACCCUCUCGGGGUCACAACUGGAGGGUUUCCAGUACUCUACCAGUCUUGACUACAGGAGGCAGAGUCAAGCAGAGGCAUACCCAUUCCAUUCCUAGCUUGGCCAGUGGCUAGCAAGUUGAAGGCAACCUGCUACAAGU